GUUUCCCAAGAAGUAGAUUCUGAGACAGAGAGUUGUGUGCAGGCGUCUAUUGAGAAAACACUUGUGAGGGCAUGAGGAAGUAGGACAGCGGCAGAGUUUGGCCUGAGGAAAGGCCUUGUGAGGACAUAACCAGGAAGAGAGUCCUCACCAGAACCUGACCAUACCUGCACCCUGAUCUCAAGCUUCCAGCUUCCAGAACCAUGAGAAAUCAAUGUUUGUUGUUUUAGCCACCCAGUCUACAGAAAUUUGUUAUAGCCACCCUAGCUGACUACCACAUUGGACAUCACAGCAAACACUACAACCACAAGUCCAGUUGGCUCCACAAGCUUGAGCUCACCAUUUCUCACCAGCUCCACCGCUACCUCCAAAUAAAAGAAAUGGCUGAAAUCCUUUGGAACCAAUAUGACCAACUGGAGUCGGUGCAGAAGGAGCUUGCU